rnacentral:rRNA from 1 species
GACGAACGCUGGCGGCGUGCCUAAUACAUGCAAGUCGAGCGGACGGAUGGGAGCUUGCUCCCAGACCGUCAGCGGCGGACGGGUGAGUAACACGUGGGCAACCUGCCUGUAAGACUGGGAUAACUCCGGGAAACCGGGGCUAAUACCGGAUAACUCUUUCCCUCACAUGAGGGAAAGCUGAAAGAUGGCAUCUCGCUAUCACUUACAGAUGGGCCCGCGGCGCAUUAGCUAGUUGGUGAGGUAACGGCUCACCAAGGCGACGAUGCGUAGCCGACCUGAGAGGGUGAUCGGCCACACUGGGACUGAGACACGGCCCAGACUCCUACGGGAGGCAGCAGUAGGGAAUCUUCCGCAAUGAACGAAAGUCUGACGGAGCAACGCCGCGUGAGUGAUGAAGGUUUUCGGAUCGUAAAACUCUGUUGUCAGGGAAGAACAAGUACCGGAGUAACUGCCGGUACCUUGACGGUACCUGACCAGAAAGCCACGGCUAACUACGUG